CAUCUCAAGAUUCUCAGUAUCGCCAUCUGGCUUCUGACACCGCCAGGUUCUCAGGAUCCCAGUCCAGCCCCAACAUCUCGCUAUUCUAAACACCGGCUCUGGAUACGUAAGCCCAGCCACAAACAUUCCGGGACCCCAAGGCCUGCCCUACUACACACAUGCAUGCGAACCCGCGCAAUUUACCGUUAGGCCGAAAGACCCUUGGGAAGGAUACUGUUUGGGGGAAAAUAAGACAGAACGCAGAGAGACCCUUCUGUCACCCCAGCGAAGUCAGCGUGAGAACUAGAACAAGAAGCACGGUGCAGCUUUGGCCGAACCAGGAUUCUUGAGAUGCGGGUGAACCAUGACCAUUCCUGGCAGUGACCUUUGAGGUCUCCAAGAUGAUGGGGACCUGCAACAACAAAUCCACCUGACUGCAAUAAUGCCAUUAAAGCUGACAACCACCACCCACAAAUCAACUGCUCAGGACAACUUCAAAGCUGCUAAGAGGGUCCAGCCUGAUAACUACUCCAGCCAGGACUUCAAACAAGCCCUGCAUUUUCCCAUCACACCUAGCCUAGACAUCAGCUAGUUCUCCCAGAACUUGACCAUUAUCUUAAUUUUCUCAAGGUCUCCUAAAGGUGCCAUCACCCCCAGACAACAGGAAGUGAUUUUAAGAACGCAAUGCCCAUAUUCCCAAGAGGUAGGGUGGGUGAU